CAAGCCACUUCCGGCAGGGGGCGGGACCGCUGGGCUUAUUAGCAUCCGGCGCCGCGCGCCCCCUGCUGGCCGCGGAGAGUCCAAGCCAGCGGAAGCUGCGGGCUGCAGAAACUGGAGAACAGCUCUGCAGGUCUGAAGCCUGAAAUGUCAGCUGGGCUGGUUCCUUCUGGAGGCUCUGGGAGAAUCUGUCUACCUUUUCCAGCUUCGAGAGGCUGCCUGUAUUCCUUGGUUGGUGGCCCUGUCUACCAUCAAGAUCAGUAGUAGCAACAUGCAAGCCAGGGAUGGUAGUGAACGCCUGUAAUCCCAGCACGCAGGAGGCUCAGACAGGAGGAUCCCUGUGAACUGGAAGCCAGCCUGGGCCACACAGUGAGACCGUCUCAAACUAACCAACCAGCCAACCAACCAGUCAACUAGCCAACCAAAACAAGUACAACCGGCAGAGAGCCAUCACUUCUUUCUACUUAGGGUACACACGGAACAAGUAAUAUAUUCAUCUUCCAAAGAUAGUGUCAGGUUGCUCUACAGAGGAAAUAAAUUCUCCUUGGAAUAAGUGAUCUGGAAACCGGGAUCUAUAACACAGACUCCACCGACCAGAGAGUGGUAUAAAUACAAUCAUAAAGCGACAACAGAGCAACGGAGAACAAAAAUGAAGUGUGGUGUUCUCUAUCAGAUGCUUAUGGAGCAUUUGAACCCUGCAAGACUGGUGAGGUGAGGGGUGAUACAGUGUGCUAGCUGAGAGUAACUUCUUGCAUACCUGACCCAGAAGGGGUACAGUGCUCUUCAGCCUGGAGGAAGAAGCGAAGGCGAACGGAGUCUGGGAAUGGUACACCACGUAAAGAAAAGCAGAAAUGAAGGGAGCAACAAUGUCUUCAACAGACAGAUCUGCAAAGAACUCUGAAGCCAGGCAUCUUGUGCAACCUUGGAGCAAAGAUGAUGAGAUCACACAACUGCUGCAGUGCCUCUGGCAGGGCACCACCAGUGUCUGGCAUACUACCCGACUUAAUGAACAUGUGAAUGAAUGCAUGAGAACCGGAAAUGUACACAGGUCCACCUUUAAGCACCAUGGCCAUCUUCCCCAGAGUUGUGGGACGAAUUCCGUUCGUGAACCGAGCCGCCACCGUACACCCAUGAAACCAUCACCGGUCAAGGCAGUGAACAGCAGCCCCCCAAAUUUUCUUGUGCCUCUUUCUUACUCCCCUUCCACUCUUCUCAGCCCCUACCUCCUCCCUCCCAGCCCUUGGCUGUGAAGCAGCCCCUGAUCCACUUCCUGUCAUGACAGAUUUGUUUUCUAGGGUUUAUAUGAACGUGAACAUAACUUUGUGUUCUUUUUUGACUGGCUUCUUCUAUUCAGUGUGAUUAUUUUGAUACUGGACCGUAUUUUUCUUUUUAAACUGCACAGCAACAUUUAUUGUUUCAGCCUAGACUGAAUGGUACUUUUGCAUCUAUAAAUGCUACUCCCUCUUUUCUCCUAAGUAGUACUUUAUUGUAUGGAUAUAUCACAAGUUGUUUAUCUGUUUGCCUGCUGAAGGAUAUUUGGGUUGUUUCCCGUUUGAGGCUAUUUAUUAUGAGUCAUGUGGCUGAGCACAUCACUGUGCCUGUCUCUGUGUGGACAGGUUUUCAUUUCUCUCAAGUAAAUGCUGAGGUGUGGGAUGGCUGAGUCUAUGGUAGACAUACAUUUUAACUUCUAAAGAAACUUCCAGUUUCUUUCUAAAGUGACUUCCAAAGUGGCUGUAGCAUUCUGCAUUCCCAAGAGCAGUGUGACAGUUCCACGGUAAAAGGUGACAUUCUUCUUCUCCCUCCGCUCAUGCUCCCUAGGCCAACCAUUAACAGAGUGGUUAACAUAGUUAAUAGAACGGUCCGUGUCCUUCCAGACUGCCACACCAGGCUUCUUAGCCCUGGCACCACUGAUAUUUUGGUUUGUUAGUUUUCUGUUGUGGGCGGUGGUCCUGGAUGUCAACGAGCGCCCCUGACUUCUACCCAGUAGAAAUGAGUAGCACCCCCACUUCCUCAGUGUGACAACCAAAACGGUCUCUAGACCUUACCAUCUGUCCUGGGAGACAAAAUGAUCCUGGUUGAGAACACUGGACAUUGCACACAUGGACAUUAAAUGCAUUAUACAGUUUCUUUCUUUUUUUUUUUUUUGAGGUAAGGUCUUGCUAUGCAGUUCAGGCUGGCCUUGAACUCGCUGCAAUUCUCCUGCCUCAGCCUCCCAAGUGCCAGGAUUAUAGGCGUGUGCCACUAUACCUGCCUCAGUUUCUUUCAGUGUUGUACACAAGGAAUAUUUUGUUAUGGAUGAAUCAGUCAUCAACACAUACCUGUUUUCAACUUGUUUAUUUUUAUUUUUUUCAGUACCAGGGAUUGAACUCAGGACCUUGCGCUUGCGAGGCAGGCACAGCACCACUGAGCUAAAUCCCCAUCCCUCAACUCAUUUAUUUUUAAAACAAUGAUACAGUUAAUUUACUUAUGUAUAAACAUUACACAAUUAUAUAAAUAUUUAUAAAUUUAAUUUUAGUAAUAUAUACCUUUUUAUUCUAAAUUAUUUUUUUGGUGUAAAUUUCAGAAACAGGUUUUUUUAGGUCAAAAAGUAUUUUUAUUUAAAAACAAAUGAGGAAAGCCAGGGAUAAUGGGAUACAUAGUGAUUUUCAGGCCAGCCCAGAACAUAGGGAGACCUUGUUUCAAAAGAAAAAUAAGGCACAUGUCUGUAAUCUCAUCACUCAGGAGGCUGAGGCAGGAGGAUUGCUGUGAGUUUGAGGUCAGUCUGGGGUACAUUGUGAGUUCAAG